rnacentral:rRNA from 1 species
AGAGGGUGCAAGCGUUAAUCGGAGUGACUGGGCGUAAAGGGCGUGUAGGUGGAUGAUUAAGUUAACUGUGAAAGCCCCAGGGCUUAACCUGGGAAUGUUGGUUAAUACUGGUCAUCUCGAGUCUUGGAGAGGAAAGUAGAAUUUCCGGUGUAGCGGUGAAAUGCGUAGAGAUCGGAAAGAAUACCGGUGGCGAAGGCGACUUUCUGGCCAAAGACUGACACUGAGGCGCGAAGGCGUGGGGAGCAAACAGGAUUAGAUACCCUGGUAGUCCACGCAGUAAACGAUGAGAACUAGAUGUUGGUGGCCUUGUUGCCACGAGUAUCGCAGCUAACGCAUUAAGUUCUCCGCCUGGGGAGUACGAUCGCAAGAUUA